AUGAGUUACGUGCGAGGGGCUACCUCGAGUGCCACCUGAUGAAGGUGGCUUUUCCUAGGUCUAAAAAGCCUUGGGAAUAAGAGGGGGGCAAGACUGGUGUCAGCCGCCGCGGUAACACCAGCCCCUCGAGUGGUGGGGAUGAUUAUUGGGCCUAAAGCGUCCGUAGCCUGCCGUAUAAGUUUCCCGUUAAAUCCAGCGUCUCAAGCGUUGGACUGCGGGAAAUACUGUACGGCUAGAGAGUGGGAGAGGUCAGCGGUAUUCUGGGGGUAGGGGCGAAAUCCUUUGAUCCCCGGAGGACCACCAGUGGCGAAGGCUGCUGACUAGAACACGUCUGACGGUCAGGGACGAAAGCUGGGGUAGCGAACCGGAUUAGAUACCCGGGUAGUCCCAGCCGUAAACGAUGCAUGCUAGGUGUUGGGUUGGCCACGAGCCACCCCAGUGCCGCAGGGAAGCCGUUAAGCAUGCCGCCUGGGAAGUACGAUCGCAAGGUUGAAACUUAAAGGAAUUGGCGGGGGAGCAC
rnacentral:rRNA from 1 species